GACGAACGCUAGCGGGAGGCUUAACACAUGCAAGUCGAGCGGUAUAGGUAGCAAUACUUAGAGAGCGGCGCACGGGUGAGUAACGCGUAUGCAACCUACCUUUUACAGAGGGAUAGCCCGGAGAAAUUCGGAUUAAUACCACAUGGCACUAUGGUCCUGCAUGGGAUUAUAGUUAAAGAUUUAUCGGUAAGAGAUGGGCAUGCGUGACAUUAGCUAGUUGGUAGGGUAACGGCCUACCAAGGCGACGAUGUCUAGGGGUUCUGAGAGGAUGAUCCCCCACACUGGUACUGAGACACGGACCAGACUCCUACGGGAGGCAGCAGUGAGGAAUAUUGGUCAAUGGGCGCAAGCCUGAACCAGCCAUCCCGCGUGAAGGAUGAAGGCCCUAUGGGUCGUAAACUUCUUUUAUAUGCCAAGAAAACGACCUACGAGUAGGUUUUUGACGGUAGUAUAUGAAUAAGCAUCGGCUAACUCCGUGCCAGCAGCCGCCGUAAAAC
rnacentral:rRNA from 1 species